rnacentral:rRNA from 1 species
UGUAGUCUCAACGAUGAUGCAUACAUGUCCACUAUGGGUGUUGGGUCCAACAAUUCGCAUUGGUCUCAAACCAAUGACAUCCAUUGCGAAGACCAUGAGUUUGAGGUGGACGAGGAGGGUGAGGGAAUUGUCGAGGCGCCGAAAGGAAGAGCGGGCAAUUACUCAACCAACGAUGACAAGUUACUAUGCCAUACUUAUUUGCAAGUGUCGAGGGAUCCAUCCAUUGGAGGUGAUCAAAGUAGAGACGCGUAUUGGGGGCGAAUGAAAGAACACUUUGAUGCUCACAACUUGAGUGGAAUUGACCGCUCCGAGAGAUCACUUCGGUCCCGAUGGUCGACAAUCAACUCGGAUUGUCAAAAGUGUGCGGCCGUACAAAAGGCAGUUGACAAGAUUAACCCAAGUGGCACAAAUGAGGAUGAUCGAGUAAGUGGCAUCUCAUAUAUGUUCAUCAUACUUGUUUUUGGUGACCGAAGUGCUAACUUGUUUUGUUUUUCUUGUAGUACAACAUUGCACAAAACUUGUUCAAAGAAGAGACAAGGACAACCAAGAAGGGGAAGAUCAAGAAAGGCAGGGUCUUUACCUUGCCUCAUUGCUAUGAAGUGUUAA